CGCGGGGUAGAGCAGUUGGCAGCUCGUCAGGCUCAUAACCUGAAGGUCGCCGGUCCAAGUCCGGCCCCCGCUA
rnacentral:tRNA from 1 species